AUCCCAAGGUUAGUGCCAGCAAACAAACAGUAAAGGAAAAAAAUGGGAAUGAGAGAAUCAAGUAAGAAGUUCAGAGAGAAGGAGGAAAUUAGAUGAAGGCAAAAAAAUGGGAGGAAAUGGAUGGCAGAGGGCAACUGAGCAGGUUGCAGGUAAAGCAGGAGAAGUGAGGAGAAGAGGAUAAGCAACAAAGAAAACUGUGAGGAACAGAGCUCACCCUCUCAUCGCACAUCAUUUCCUGACUCAGUCAGGAAGGAAGAUGAGAGACUGGUGGUAAGAACAGAACGGCCCCAACUGAUCCACAGAGGGACAGUGAGAGGAAGUGUGGUGCAAAGCCCUGCAACGUGAAGGAAAAGAACAUUUUCUUAUAAGGUGAAGAUCAGGCCUCCACUAACAUCUCAUUGAUCAGAAGUGUGUUACACACCUUAUUCUACCUGCAAGGGAGGCUAUAAAAGCACCGGUCAGCAUUGUCCACGGCAUUGUGGAUGAGACAAAACAAACUCACAUGGACUACCGAGUCCUGGGGAGAAAAAGGGACAGCACGGCUACCCUCUCAAGGGGAGAGCACCUUGGAG